GAUGAACGCUAGCGGCAGGCUUAAUACAUGCAAGUCGUGGGGCAGCAUGAAUGUAGCAAUACAUUUGAUGGCGACCGGCAAACGGGUGCGGAACACGUACACAACCUUCCUAUAAGUGGGGAAUAGCCCAGAGAAAUUUGGAUUAAUACCCCGUAACAUAACGAUGUGGCAUCACAUUGUUAUUAUAGCUUCGGCGCUUAUUGAUGGGUGUGCGGCUGAUUAGAUAGUUGGCGGGGUAACGGCCCACCAAGUCUACGAUCAGUAGCUGAUGUGAGGGCAUGAUCAGCCACACGGGAACUGAGACACGGGCCCGACUCCUACGGGAGGCAGCAGUAAGGAAUAUUGGUCAAUGGACGCAAGUCUGAACCAGCCAUGCCGCGUGAAGGAUUAAGGUCCUCUGGAUUGUAAACUUCUUUUAUCUGGGACGAAAAAAGGCUUUUCUAAGUCACUUGACGGUACCAGAUGAAUAAGCACCGGCUAACUCCGUGCCAGCAGCCGCCGUAAGAC
rnacentral:rRNA from 1 species